UGUUCAGACUUAAAACCACAUAUCUAAAUGACCUGGGUUGCAUUUCUAAAAAUCAUGUCUGUGUUGUUCAGACUGUCACGAAAAGGUCACAGAUCA